rnacentral:rRNA from 1 species
UAGGGGGCAAGCGUUGUCCGGAAUUAUUGGGCGUAAAGGGUGCGUAGGCGGCCUUACAAGUUGGAUGUGAAAUCCCCGUGCUUAACAUGGGAACUGCAUCCAAAACUGUAGGGCUUGAGUGUGGAAGAGGUAAGUGGAAUUCCCAGUGUAGCGGUGAAAUGCGUAGAUAUUGGGAGGAACACCAGUGGCGAAGGCGACUUACUGGGCCACAACUGACGCUGAGGCACGAAAGCGUGGGGAGCAAA